ACGUGGCAACCCUAGUACAGAUUAAUCCUUCCCUUCAAAACAGCAGCUGUCUUAGUAUAGCCAUUCACCCAAUGAAUUGGCCGCAGUGCUAUUGUGAAAAGGGUUCAGCUGCCACCAUACUAGCUUCACUGCAGCCAAACAAUAGCUCACAGCCCUUAUAUCACAGCAGAACGGCAACAGUGCUGUAUAUGAUGAUGACAGGACAGAAUGGAAGACAAUGCCUUUCUACAGUCGUAAACAUGGGCCAUGGUGGCAGGUCUGGUGCUGAUGGGAGAUGUUCAGCCUGAGGAAAGAAAACCUCUCCCCAAACUUGGCAGUGCAAGCUAUGGUCUAAGUGAUGCCGUGAGCUCUGGGAGCAUUUUCUUUUGGCUUCUGCGCCAUUGUUAUUCAAGAUUGCUAACUCCUCUGCAGGAGAUUGCGACUCACGCUACACGGCCAAGGGGAUUUCUGCCGUUCUGUCUGGCUAGGUUAUGCUAUUUGCAAAGCAAACGAGCGCCCCUGACGAGCCACUAAUACCAGCUGCAAUUUGCAUUUGAAACAUAAUCAUUAAAAAAAAUUGGCAAAA